ACGCUCGACACCUACGGGAGACAGCAAUGGGGAAUAUUGCACAAUGGGGGAAACCCUGAUGCAGCGACGCCGCGUGGAGGAAGAAGGUCUUCGGAUUGUAAACUCCUGUUGUUGGGGAAAAAGAGGAUGGUACCCAACAAGGAAGUGACGGCUAACUACGUGCUAGCAGCCGCGGUAAUCUGAGCGGGCUGGCAAGGC
rnacentral:rRNA from 1 species